rnacentral:rRNA from 1 species
GGGUAACCUGCCUGUAAGACUGGGAUAACUCCGGGAAACCGGGGCUAAUACCGGAUGGUUGUUUGAACCGCAUGGUUCAAACAUAAAAGGUGGCUUCGGCUACCACUUACAGAUGGACCCGCGGCGCAUUAGCUAGUUGGUGAGGUAACGGCUCACCAAGGCGACGAUGCGUAGCCGACCUGAGAGGGUGAUCGGCCACACUGGGACUGAGACACGGCCCAGACUCCUACGGGAGGCAGCAGUAGGGAAUCUUCCGCAAUGGACGAAAGUCUGACGGAGCAACGCCGCGUGAGCGAAGAAGGUCUUCGGAUCGUAAAGCUCUGUUGUUAGGGAAGAACAAGUAUCGGAGGAAAUGCCGGUACCUUGACGGUACCUGACGAGAAAGCCACGGCUAACUACGUGC